rnacentral:lncRNA from 1 species
AAAGCCCACAGUGACCUCUGCCUGGCUACUGCUGAUGUUCACUCAAGGCCCCGAGCUCUUCAGUCAGCAGGUGGCAAAUCCAGCGAUGUUUGUGUCUUUCCCUUCAGGGUGGCAAGCUCCCCACCAGCCCAGGAAUGGUCCAGAAAUGCUGUUCAGGAGCCAGGGCCUGGAGUUAGGAACCUUAGAAAUCUGCUCUAUUCUACUGUGGCUGAGUUGGCACCAAAGCUGCAAGACAAAGUCCUUCUCACUCUUCUCUCUCAUUUCCUCAACCUGAAGGAGUCUUUCUUCACAGCCACCACCACCUCAGGCCUAUGCUUUUUACCAUUUAUGUAAAAUUAUGUGUGUGUCUGUACAUAGCCACAGAGGGCUAUGAAGAGAGAAUGCCAGCAGGCUCUCCAGCAUCAUCCACUAACACUUUCUAAGAUGACAGAAAUGUGCUACAUCUGCACUGUCCAAAACAGUAGCCGUGAGCCUCCUGAGCUGCUGAGCACUUGGAAUAUGAGUAAAAGUCUUUGCUGGUGCAUCAGAUUGGCAGAGCAUAGAUCACAUGUCUGUGCCCUAGCUGCAAGGGAGUCUAGGUAAGCAAGCCCUCUUCUAACACUUUCAGCUUCUGUUGGGAAGGUGACCAAAAGUUGGGAGCUCCCUGCAAAUAAAAAUGAACUUCAUGUGCUGGGCAGCCAAAAACAAAAGAUUUUUAAAAUAUACAAUAAAUGCCAUUUAAACUAGGGAAAGGCUGGGGAGAAAGGGAAACUAAUGUAAAAUUUUUAAGUAGACCUGGAUUCUGGACUCAUUAAAUACAUUUUAGGGGUAACUAGCUCUCUGAAACCUUGUUUUUGUAUCUGAAAUCAAAGUGUUGAAUCAGAUGAACUCUCUGGAUGUUGAUGCUGUGAAAUGUCACAUUCUCAGAUCAUCUCUGUGGUUGGCAUGACUUGAAACAAAGAAAAAGAAGAUCCCAUAAUUACGCUGAAAAAAUUAUUAUUUUUAUCUUAAGUCACCCCAAAAUUUGUAUUUAGAAAUGGACAAGGUAAACAUUUUUAUAGGAAUUUUUAUUUCUUCCUUUAAAGUAACUUGUCAGUAUUAUACUGUUGGUUAUUGGAUUUGAGAGAAGACCUUCUCUCUCCAGACCCAAAGCCAGUCAUCUUGUGUGCUCUGAAAUGGACCAGACUAUUUUUAAAAGGGAGAGAAAGAGGUGCCAUGAGGUGAUAAAAGGGACAAAAAAAGGUAGACUUUGUUUCUAUAAAAGUUUUUUGGAACAUGAUAGCUUUUUUCAUGUCAGCCAUACUCAGAGAUAAGUGGGAAAAACUCCUGUCUAGUUCUCCCACAUCUGCCAUGAAAGUUACUAGGGUUCUUAUAGGCUUUUCUUCUGAAUUACUAUAGCAUAUAUUUAGGAUUAUCCCUAUUUCAUCUGAAAGUUUUUAUUUAAAUGUACUGCUUGUUUGCACAUGUUUGUUUAAGUUUUGCUGAAAUCUUAAGUAUCAUUCUGUGACUUCUUAAUUUCUCUUCCUGUGGGGGGUGUUUCUCUUACUUCAUAAACUGAAGACAGGGCUUUCCAAAAAUGUUCACAUCCAAGCACUCAUAAAAAUUGUAUUUGUAUCUGAGGUUACUUCAGAUCCUGAGUUGUCCUGGGGACUCCAGCCUAACCACCCUGAAAACUGAGGGCACCAAUGAUGCUGCCAUCUGUCACUUUCGUGGUUCACCAGUGUGUGAGGCACUCCUCAGAAAACUCUGGCCUAAGCCCAUGGGAAAAAUUAAGUUUGAUAUACCAAAGCAGUCUUUACAUACAGUUUUCCAGGGAUGGGUCUGCUAAAGCAUGCAAUAUAUCAGAAAGGAUAGGUUUCAUGACAGUGAAGAGAAUGGCGGACUAGCCCAGAGGUCUGUUUCAGUGAACUGAAAUGGAUGAGGAAGCUGAGGCCCAGAGAGAUAAGUGACUUGGCCUAGGUCACACAGCCACUUGGCAGCAGGCCAGGCCGAGAUUGCCAGGUGAAGAACCCU